rnacentral:rRNA from 1 species
GUAGGGAAUAUUGCACAAUGGGGGAAACCCUGAUGCAGCGACGCCGCGUGAGUGAUGAAGGCCUUCGGGUCGUAAAGCUCUGUCGUAUGGGACUAACAAAAUGAAGGUACCAUGCAAGAAAGGAUCGGCUAACUUCGUGCCAGCAGCCGCGGUAAGACGAGGGAUCCUAGCGUUGUUCGGAAUUAUUGGGCGUAAAGCGGGUGUAGGCGGGCCUGUCAGUCAGGUGUGAAAUCCCAGGGCUUAACACUGGAAGUGCACUUGAUACUGCAGGUCUUGAGUGUGGUAAAGGCUAUUAGAAUUCUUGGUGUAGUGGUGAAAUACGUAGAUAUCAAGAGGAAUACCGGAGGCGAAGGCGGAUAGCUGGGCCAACACUGACGCUGAGACCCGAAAGCGUGGGGAUCAAACAGGAUUAGAUACCCGGGUAGUCC